rnacentral:rRNA from 1 species
CSUGUUUAACAAAAACAKGUCUUUUUGAGUUAUUUUUUAAUUUUGKCCUGCCCACUGAAGUUUAUUUAAAUGGCCGCAGUAUUCUWACUGUGCAAAGGUAGCAUAAUCAUUAGUCUUUUAAUUGAAGGCUGGUAUGAACGGUUGGRCGAGGUAUAAGCUGUUUCAUAUAAAUUUAUAAUAGAAUUUUAUUUUUUAGUCAAAAAGCUAAAAUUUAAUUAAAAGACGAGAAGACCCUAUAAAUCUUUAUAUUUUAUGUUAUUUAGAUUUUUUAGAUUAAUUUUAUUUUUAUAACUUAAAUUAUUUUGUUGGGGUGAUGUUAAAAUUUAAUAAACUUUUAAUUAUUUAAAAUCAUUAAUUUAUGAGUUAUUGAUCCAUUAGUAGUGAUUAUAAGAUUAAGUUACUUUAGGGAUAACAGCGUAAUUUUUUUGGAGAGUUCAUAUCGAUAAAAAAGUUUGCGACCUCGAUGUUGGAUUAAGAUAUAUUUUUAGGUGUAGCCGCUUAAAU